ACGUUCAAAAAAUUUUUUCCGGAUUUUAAUCAAAACAAUCGAUUAUACAAAAUCAAUAAUCGAUUACCCAAUAACGUUCAAAAAAUCUUUUCCCGGUUUUAAUCAAAACAAUCGAUUAUACAGAAUCAAUAAUCGAUUACCUGAUGGUAUCUGAAAACUUUACGACAACGGUCAGCUUCACAAUCGAUUGCACAAAGUCAACAAUCG
rnacentral:lncRNA from 1 species